rnacentral:lncRNA from 1 species
CUACCACAUGGCCAACCCCAUAAAGGUGUUGGAAUUGAGGAUUUUUAUUCUUAAAUAUAAUCUGGAUUAAAUUUUGAUGAAAAUAAAAUCUCGGAUAUUAAACUUUAAAGAGAACCUCAAGAUUAGUUAGAUUAUCUGCUUGUUGUUCGUGCAAGUCUAAAAUGCCUUCAUAUUGGAUGAAAAGGAUGGCCAGAAAUACUCCUAGGGAGGCAUCGAAUUAGUAGAUUCAUGAUACUCCUCGGUAGCUUGGUGGCAUUUUCUAACAUGAGGGAGUCAUUGAUCCUGCUAGGAAC